AAUGAACGCUGGCGGUGUGCCUAACACAUGCAAGUCGAACGGCAACACAGUAAGCUUUUGCUUUUGCGGUUGGCGACGGGCGGACGGGUAACAAGUACAUCGGCAUCUUCUUUUUCGGGGAUGAUAACGGAGGAAAAGUUACGAUAAUACCUCAUAUGAUCUACGGCAGGAUGCAGGGGUGCUUGGCAGCUUGCGCGUUUGAAUUAGCCGGUUUCGGAUCAGAUAGUUGGCGGGGUAAAGGCCCGCCAUGCCAACGAUCCGUAGCUGGGCUGAGAGGAUGGUCAGCCACACUGGAACUGAGACACGGUCCAGACUCCUACGGGAGGCAGCAGUGGGGAAUAUUGGACAAUGGGCGCAAGCCUGAUCCAGCCAUACCGGGUGGGUGAAGAAGGCCUUCGGGUUGUAAAGCCCUUUUGUUGGGAAAGAAAAGUAGCAGGUUAAUACCCCGCUGUUCUGACGGUACCCAAAGAAUAAGCACCGGCUAACUUCGU
rnacentral:rRNA from 1 species